CCUACGGGGUGCAGCAGUGGGGAAUAUUGGACAAUGGGCGAAAGCCUGAUCCAGCCAUGCCGCGUGUGUGAAGAAGGCCUUCGGGUUGUAAAGCACUUUCAGUGGGGAAGAAAGCCUUGGGGCUAAUACCCUCGAGGAAGGACAUCACCCACAGAAGAAGCACCGGCUAACUCCGUGCCAGCAGCCGCGGUAAUACGGAGGGUGCGAGCGUUAAUCGGAAUUACUGGGCGUAAAGCGCGCGUAGGCGGUCUGAUAAGCCGGUUGUGAAAGCCCCGGGCUCAACCUGGGAACGGCAUCCGGAACUGUCAGGCUAGAGUGCAGGAGAGGAAGGUAGAAUUCCCGGUGUAGCGGUGAAAUGCGUAGAGAUCGGGAGGAAUACCAGGGGCGAAGGCGGCCUUCUGGACUGACACUGACGCUGAGGUGCGAAAGCGUGGGUAGCAAACAGGAUUAGAUACCCGAGUAGUC
rnacentral:rRNA from 1 species